CGGGGUCUCCAAUCGCAGGCGGGGAUCCCAGCCACUGGCGAGCACCUCGCCCGUGGUACUGACCCCAUGCUCAUCCACCCGAGGUACGAGUCUGAGGGACAGACGCUCUCAGCCAGCCGCUUCUCCCGCAAACAGACUCCUCUGCCAGCAGGGGACAUAACGUGUUUUCCACCGCACUUUGCGCUGUGUGUAGCAACACGGGGAAGGCAUCGGCACGCGAAAUCACGCGAAAUGACCGAAAAGGCCGAGGAGUAUACGAGCCGAGUGGCACCGCUCCCCGGCCCACACGUCCUCCGCGGGAGAACUGCCUGCGUGCUACCCCGGCAGACUCUGAAAGAAGCUGAAGGUUUUACACUAUACUGCAAUGUACUGAAUAAAGCACUGCAAGGUGUAGGGAAAACAGCAAAAAAGGAUGUCUCAUGAUAUCAAAACGUGAGAGAAACCUCAGGUUUUUGAAAAAGAAUGUGAAUAUGGGCAGCUGAAAUAUUUCCCAAAUCUAAAAAUGCAUUUAGAAACUUUUGCAACAUUUGGAGACAAUCCUACAAGUUGUCAGGAAAGCUACAAGAAAUUUUUUUUAGCAUUGUAGCCACUGCAAAGCAGAAAUUUAGUAAUAGAUUUUUACAAUUCCAUGAGACAGAGACACGCCUGAGUUUUCUUACUUCUCCAGAUAAAGCCAAAUUUGAAGAACUGAAUUUUUCCUGCUUACAUAGGUUAGAUUUUGGAAAUCUGGAAAUGGAGCUAUUGGAAUUUCAAGAAAGCUCUAUCUGGAAAAAUAGAUUAUAUAUCCUGUGUGCAACAUUUGAGAAGACAGAGAAGACAGAGUAUGAAAGAAUGACAAAGGAUAGCACAGUCCACAGUCCUGAAAAUGAAAUCCUUAAAGUAUGGGAUUCUCUGCCAAGUAAUUGAAAGUCAGUGGAAGCACUUGGGAUUGCAUUUUUACUUUGGUUGUGUCAUUUUAUGCUUGUGAGCAGCUGUUUUCAGCUUGGAAUUACAUCAAAUCUGACACAAGAAACAGACUAAAGAUGACCUGAGUGCUGCAUAUACUGCUCUCAAACUAAGGAAGUAUGAGCCAAGCUUUGAUGAAUUAUCAGCAUAAAUACAAUAGCAAAGAUCACAUUAACUGCAAAAGCAUGCCACAUGCAAACUUUUACUUCCCAAUAAAAAGUUGUUUGUAUCACUGAAAGCUCUAUUAUCAGGUUUUUACGACAAAAGAUUUUAAAGCAGGA
rnacentral:lncRNA from 1 species